CGUGAACGCUGGCGGCGUGCCUAAUACAUGCAAGUCGAACGAACGAAUAAGAGCUUGCUCUUAUAAGUUAGUGGCGCACGGGUGAGUAAUAUAUAGCUAAUCUGCCUCUUAGUCGAGGAUAACAGUCGGAAACGAUUGCUAAUACUCUAUACUUCUGCUUUACAUAAGUAAAGUAGAGAAAGUUUUUCGCUAAGAGAUGAGGCUAUACUGUAUCAGCUAGUUGGUAAGGUAACGGCUUACCAAGGCUAUGACGCAUAACUGGUCUGAGAGGAUGAUCAGUCACAUUGGAACUGAGACACGGUCCAAACUCCUACGGGAGGCAGCAGUAGGGAAUAUUGCGCAAUUGGGGAAACCCUGACGCAGCAACGCCGCGUGGAGGAUGACACUUUUCGGAGCGUAAACUCCUUUUAUCGGGAAAGAAUAAUGACGGUACCCGAUGAAUAAGCACCGGCUAACUCCGUG
rnacentral:rRNA from 1 species